AUACGUAGGGUGCAAGCGUUAAUCGGAAUUACUGGGCGUAAAGCGAGCGCAGGCGGUUUUGUAAGACAGUGGUGAAAUCCCUGGGCUCAACCUGGGAACUGCCAUUGGGACUGCAAGGCUGGAGUGCGGCAGCGGGGGGUGGAAUUCCGCGUGUAGCAGUGAAAUGGUUGGAUAUGCGGAGGAACGCCGAUGGCUGAGGCAAUCCGCUGGGCCGGCACUGGAGGUCAUGCACGAAAGCGUGGGGGGCAAACAGAAUUAGAUACCCGGGUAGUCCACGCCAUAAGCGAUGUCAGCGGGGUGUUGGGGAGUUAGUGUCUCAGUAACGAAGCUAACGCAUGAAGUAGACCGCCUGGGGAGUGCGGCCGCAAGGUUAAAGCUCAAAUGAAUUGACGGGG
rnacentral:rRNA from 1 species